GACGAACGCUGGCGGCGUGCUUAACACAUGCAAGUCGAACGGAAAGGCCCUGCUUUUGUGGGGUGCUCGAGUGGCGAACGGGUGAGUAACACGUGAGUAACCUGCCCUUGACUUUGGGAUAACUUCAGGAAACUGGGGCUAAUACCGGAUAGGAGCUCCUGCUGCAUGGUGGGGGUUGGAAAGUUUCGGCGGUUGGGGAUGGACUCGCGGCUUAUCAGCUUGUUGGUGGGGUAGUGGCUUACCAAGGCUUUGACGGGUAGCCGGCCUGAGAGGGUGACCGGCCACAUUGGGACUGAGAUACGGCCCAGACUCCUACGGGAGGCAGCAGUGGGGAAUAUUGCACAAGGGGCGGAAGCCUGAUGCAGCAACGCCGCGUGCGGGAUGACGGCCUUCGGGUUGUAAACCGCUUUCGCCUGUGACGAAGCGUGAGGGACGGUAAUGGGUAAAGAAGCACCGGCGAACUACG
rnacentral:rRNA from 1 species